UACGGGGGGGGCAAGCGUUGUUCGGAAUUACUGGGCGUAAAGGGCUCGUAGGUGGCCAUCUAAGUCGGACGUGAAAUCCCUCAGCUUAACUGGGGAACUGCGUCCGAUACUGGAUGGCUCGAGUUUGGGAGAGGGAUGCGGAAUUCCAGGUGUAGCGGUGAAAUGCGUAGAUAUCUGGAGGAACACCGGUGGCGAAGGCGGCAUCCUGGACCGGCAUUGACGCUGAGGCGCGAAAGCCAGGGGAGCAAACGGG
rnacentral:rRNA from 1 species